rnacentral:tRNA from 1 species
UAUUAAGUGGCCGAACUUUAAGCGCUAGAUUUUUAAUCUAGUCUAUGAUUUAUUAAUAAUCCUUAAUGG